GCGGGGGUGGCCAAGCCCGGUCAGGCGUCCGGCUGCAGACCGGAGAACGGGGGUUCGAAUCCCUCCCCCCGCU
rfam:Candidatus Altiarchaeales archaeon WOR_SM1_SCG NODE_40_length_18137_cov_968.532_ID_65, whole genome shotgun sequence.